ensembl:lncRNA
GUCUCUUGGACUGCAAGGAGAUCCAACCAGUCCAUCCUAAAGGAAAUUAGUCCUGAAUGUUCAUUGGAAGGACUGAUGUUGAAGCUGAAACUCCAAUACUUUGGCCACCUGGUGUGAAGAACUGACUCAUUGGAAAAGACCCUGAUGCUGGGAAUGAUUGAAGGCAGGAGAUGAAGGGGAUGACAGAGGAUGAGAUGGUUGGUUGGCAUCACCAACUCAAUGGACAUGAGUUUGAGUAAGCUGUGGGAGUUAACGAAGGAAGGGAAACCUGGCGUGCUAUAGUACAUGGGGUCACAAAGAGUCAGACACUACUGAGCGACUGAACUGAAGUCACCCCAAUGAUAUUCUAUAAGCUGAUUUAUAGUUUAGUUUUGAAGAAAUGCCUCUUUUCACAAUUGUGAGAUACAGGUAGAAAUAAACCAUGCAGGAAAAAGAGAACCUUCUUUUGAGAUGAAAAUAGAAACAAAUGUUGAAAGGAUUUUUAAACUCUUAGAUGAGGAUUAGAUCCUCCCAAGGGCCUUUAAGAGUCUGUUAGUUGACAGAUUAUUAAUCUAAAACAAAGUCCAAUGGAAAAAUGAAUGUAUGUGUCUUGCUUUCAGGACGUCUAUAAGGAGUGAGUUUUCCUCAUGUAGUCACAGAAAUGUCUUGGAUUAGCCGUGCAAUUCCAGAUUAAAGGAACCCUCAGUGCUAAAGCAAUGUGGAGGAACUCUCACUGGUCUGGGAAUCUUAUGUUGCCACCAACGUGACAGUGAUGAAAAUCACUUGUAGAGAAACCCACUACAGGGACAGUUGGAUAAAUCAGCUUCUCUUGUCCCCAUUCUUUCACCCCUCCCCUGGCCCAAAAGCCCAAGCAGAUUGGUUAUCAGACACUGAGAAUGUGAGACAUUUUGCAUCAUAGAAAAGGAAAGGGGCAGACUUGCCAGGCACUUACCUGUAUUAUAUUACUUAAUUCUGUGAGCAUGUGGGUCUCAUCCUGGCCUUCAAAAUGCAAAAGCAAAGCUUACUAUAUGUAAGUUGCUCAAGACUAAAGAAUUUGUAAGUUGUAGAGACUGGUUUAAAUCUAAAUCUGAUUCUGAAUUCCAUUCACAAAUAUGCUGAAAGCCAAGAAGAAUCUUCUCUCUGCUUCUGCUUAUUCUUUUCUCUUUACCUGAAAUGUCAUCCAUUAAUUCAAUAACUAUUUGUAGAACACUUGCUGUAUGCCUGGGAAUUGGUUUGGUUCUGGGAAAACAGAUGAACAAGAAUGUGCUGCUACCUCCCAGAAGCCUGUCUGUCUGUCUAGGGAGAAGCAGGUAUGGGCAAGAAGAAAGAAACAUAAUGUGAUCAAUUCUGUGCAUGGAAACUAGACAACACUCUUUGAAAUCAUAGGUAGUUAGACAGUAAACACCAUUAACAGACAGGAAGAUGGGUAGGAGAUGGAGAGGGUAGUGAAGAAAGGAUGCUUCAGAAGGCAUUUUUGAGCUCUGGCAGAUUAUUUACUAUCUGAACCACCACGGAAGCCCUGGGCUUAUAAAUUUCAACAUAUAGAAUUGAAGAGGAGGGACAGAAACAUUCAAUUCAUAACACUGGUUGCAAGUCUGUUCAACAGGUAUUUAAAAUAAAUUACUUCUAUAGAUAUAAUAUAAAAUGCAUUUUAAGCAUGUAUUUUAUUGUGCUGGCUCACCCAUGCUCAAGUUAAUCAAACUUGCUAUUGCUAAUCUCUGGUUGAUAUUGACUUUAGAGCCACUUAAAGGUGGGAUGUCUAUUAUCUGAAAAAUAGGAAAGUUAUCUUUUAAAAGAAAAUUUGAAGUUGAGGAAAUAUGCAACAAAAACUUCAUAGGAACCAGGUGGAAAACUUACGACAUGGAUCAAAACCAGGGUUCAUCUGAUCAUUUUAGUUUGGUUCCUUUUACAGGUUCACUCAGAAAAGCUGAUAGCAUUUUCACUGAUGUUCUGACCUUGAGGUUGGUUGUAGAAGUCUAGAUCAGAAGGAAAUGCCGGAGACUGAAGACAUUAGAGUUUGUCUUUCAAGUUCUGAAAGGUCUUGGAUUUAGCUGAGCCCCCUUUGUCUUGUUCUGAAGUGUUUAUAGCUGGGCUUUCCUGAACGCAAACCAUGAAGACAAACCAUGGGGCCUCCUGUGGAUCUGGAGAGGCCUGAUUUACAGCUCCCACAAAGCAGGUGGGCAUCUGAGCCUGCUCUCCACCAUGAGAACUAAGCAUUUGUUCCCAAGGUCUGGCUCUGCUCCCUGGCAAUUCUUAAGCCCUGGACAUCAAGAAGAUCCUCGAUUCCCUGUUGUUAUUGAGAAGACAAGCCAAAGGGAGGAGUGGGAGAGGCCGAAUCAGUCCUCCCAGAUCUAUUAAAGCAAUCCUUAGUGAAAUAGGAACCUGGGGGAGGGGAUGGAAGGGAACUCCCUACUGACUUCUCACUGUACUUACUCCCUAAAGAGCUCCCAUGGAACAUUUAUUUCCUCAAACUCACACUUGAUGAUAACAACCACCAAACUCCCACCUAGGUACGUGAGAGUGUUUCUUCCUGAAUGUGGAAGGUGAUGAGUUUUGGGGCUCGAGAAACUGUCCACAGGUCAAAUUCCUUUCCUUUGGUUCUUACUGAGGCUCUGGAGGUAGGAAGAUGGGGCUCAGAGUAGGUAGGUUUCUUGGAACAAAGAGUGAGUUUGGACCUUCACUGAGAAGUUCCCACAGUAGUGCUCCCUCUUUGGAGGUCCCUGUCCAGAGGACAGUGGGGUCAUUCCCACAGUUGCCAGAUGUCUUCCCCACUCUCCAGGAACCCACCCAGCUCCCUGAGCACCCCUAGGUGUGCCAUCGUUUUCCUCCUGUGGGGCACACCUGUUUUCUUUGCCCAGGAGUAAGAGUCCUACUGACCUCAGGAGGCCUCCUUACACAUCCACAGUCACUUCCGUUUUCCCAGUGCUGAGAGUUUCUCCCAUGUUUCAUGAACACUCAGAUGAAGCCCUACUAUGUGCCCCUCACAACGUCUCCUCACUCCACCGCGCAGCUGAGGAAAUUGAGGCUAGAAAGAGAAAAUGGCUUGUUUGAAGUCCCAGACCUACUCUUUCCCCUAUUUCUUGUUUGGAAGGGCUAUUGUACAGAGGAAAGCUACAAACCCACGUUCUUCUCCAGCUGUUUUCCCAUUAAACCCUUUCAGAACAGUGCAGUAGCUUCCUCUAAUUCACUCAUAGAUAGCAGCCCCAGAGCACGUGGCCUCCCACAUCCCACAAUUAUUCUUCUUAGGGGACCCUGCAUUCCCUCAGACUCUCUUCCAUGAAGAACCCCUUUAGCAAGCACUGUGGAAAUGGACAUUUGAAAGUGAAAGUUAGUUGCUCUGGCAUGUCCGUCUCUUUGAGACCUCCUGGACUGUAGCCUGCCAGGCUACUCUGUCCCUGGGAUUCUUCAGGCAAGAAUACUGGAGUGGGUUGCCAUGCUCUCCUCCAGGGGAUCUUCCCAACCCAUGGAUAGAACCCAAGUCUCCCACGUUGCAGGCAGAUUCUUUACCAUUUGAGCCACCAGGGAAUCCCCUUAGGGAAUGGGCAUUUGGAGCUCUAAAAACAGGUGUUGAGACGUUUCGACUGCAAAGGCAGUGUUUGGAAAUGAUCUUGCUAGAUUAUCUUAACUCUGGGUUUUCAUUAAAGUCUUUAGUUUAAUUUUGCUCAUGUAAUCUUGGUAAGGGUUUUAAGUGGCUUCUGAGUAAUUUUCUUAAGAUCAGGCAAACACACACACACACACACACACACGCAGACACCCCUAAGGUCCUUGCACAUCUCUUACUCAUUCCACAUCCUAGAUUCAGGUUUAUUUUCUCAGUGCCUGACCUUGUAAUUAGAAGUACAUUUUCUUUGAAGAGACAGUUACAUUUAUAGAUGGCAGUGAAUGGGAAGCUCAGAGAAUGUUCCCGGUGUUAAUCAGAGGCCAUUUGACUUAGCACUGAGAAAUCUUGCUAAAGCUUCAAACUAAUAAAGUGAAAAUACUUAUGAAAUUGCCAAGAACACUUCUCUGAAGGUAUAAUUAAUUGUUCAAAAACUGGCAUGUCACUGUAAGAACAGAUCUCUGGCUUUACUUCCGCAUCCACAUAGCAUCUUAGGUUUCUGUGUUACAACUCGAAAAGUAUGCAUACUCACUUCACUGAACUUCCUCAUUAUACAAAUAGAGUAGUCAAUAAUUCAAGAAGGAAAAUCACCAAGGUUGCAGAGGGGUCUAGGUAUAAAGUUGGACCGGGACCCACCCCAUGGACUCAGUCCAGAUUGUCCCAUUCCCCUACAGGAUAAGUUAUUCCUAUGCAACCUGGUGUUAGAGGUAGUUUUCCAAAAGCUGUUUGCUAAACGCAAUUAAUCUAAAUAGGGAAGGCCAGGCCAUGGGACAAGUAGGUAUAAACAAAGUUGGGCAAAUCCAGAGGCAAGAAUACUUCAGCCUACUACUUAGGAGCAUUGGCUAAAGGCACAGGUGAUGUUCAAGAGCAGGUCUGACCUUGAAGGCAGAGCACAUGCUUAUGUAUUUUGGCUAAUAUGGUACACAAACUAGUGCCUAGAUGUUGUUGCCUAGUCUCUAAGUUGUGUCUGAUUCUUUUGUGACCCUGUGGACUGUAGGCCACCAGGCUCUUCUGUCCAUAGGAUUCCCAGGCAAGAAUACUGAAGUGGGUUGCCAUUUCCUUCUCCAGGGGAUCUUCCCAACCCAGGGAUCAAACUGGCAUCUCCUGCAUUGUAGGGAGGUUUUUUUACCAUCUGAGCUACCUGGGAAGCCCAGUACUUACAUAAAGGAACUAACAUUCAAGGAACCCCUAUUCAGUCAGUUAGUCAGUGAAGUUGCUCAGUUGUGUCCGACUCUUUGUGACCCCAUGAAUCGCAGCACACCAGGCCUCCCUGUCCAUCACCAGCUCCCAGAGUUCACUCAAACUCAUGUCCAUCGAGUUGAUGAUGCCAUCCAGCCUUCUCAUCCUCUGUCAUCCCCUUCUCCUCCUGCCCCCAAUCCCUCCCAGCAUCAGAGUCUUUUCCAAUGAGUCAACUCUUCGCAUGAGGUGGCCAAAGUAUUAGAGUUUCAGCUUUAGCAUCAUUCCUUCCAAAGAAAUCCCAGGACUAAUCUCCUUUAGAAUGGACUGGUUGGAUCUCCUUGCAGUCCAAGGGACUCUCAAGAGUCUUCUCCAACACCACAGUUCAAAAACAUCAAUUCUUUGGCACUCAGCUUUCUUCACAGUCCAACUUUCACAUCCAUACAUGACCACUGGAAAAACCAUAGCCUUGACUAGACAGACCUUUGUUGGCAAAGUAAUAUCUCUGCUUUUUAAUAUGCUAUCUAGGUUGGUCAUAACUUUCCUUCCAAGGAGUGCAGGAAUCUUUUAAUUUCAUGGCUGCAAUCACCAUCUGCAGUGAUUUUGGAGUCCAAAAAACUCCUAUUAUGCAACUGCUAUCCCCAUUUUGUAGAUGAGAAACUGAAGCUCAGGAAAAAUUGUGCCGUGCAGAAAUCACUUAGCCAGGAAACAGUGGGGCUAUAUAGCUCAAACCCGGGUCUUGACUGCUCCAAAGCUUAAGUUCCUUCCAUCUUACUCCAGUGUGGUUGAACUAGGGCAGAGGAUAGAAAUGAUGGAGGUAGAUUUCAGUUAGAUUAACUCAAGAAAGUAACAACCCAGAUAUCUAAAAAUCAAGCUGGUUGCAUUGGAUAGUGCCAAGCUCCCUCCCUAGUUUGUGAAAAGGUGUGAGGCAGUCUGUUACGCCUGUGAUACAAGUG